CGUAGGGUGCAAGCGUUGUCCGGAAUUAUUGGGCGUAAAGAGCUUGUAGGCGGUUUGUCGCGUCUGCUGUGAAAAUCCGAGGCUCAACCUCGGACUUGCAGUGGGUACGGGCAGACUAGAGUGUGGUAGGGGAGACUGGAAUUCCUGGUGUAGCGGUGAAAUGCGCAGAUAUCAGGAGGAACACCGAUGGCGAAGGCAGGUCUCUGGGCCACUACUGACGCUGAGAAGCGAAAGCAUGGGGAGCGAACAGG
rnacentral:rRNA from 1 species